rnacentral:rRNA from 1 species
AUUGAACGCUGGCGGCAUGCCUUACACAUGCAAGUCGAGCGGCAGCACGGGUGCUUGCACCUGGUGGCGAGUGGCGAACGGGUGAGUAAUACAUCGGAACGUACCUUAUCGUGGGGGAUAACGCAGCGAAAGCUGUGCUAAUACCGCAUACGCCCUGAGGGGGAAAGCGGGGGAUCGCAAGACCUCGCGCGAUUAGAGCGGCCGAUGCCUGAUUAGCUUGUUGGUGGGGUAAAAGCCCACCAAGGCGAAGAUCAGUAGCUGGUCUGAGAGGACCAUGAGCCACGAUGGGAGUGAGACACGGCCCAGACUCCUACGGGAGGCAGCAGUGGGGAAUUUUGGACAAUGGGGGCAACCCUGAUCCAGCAAUGCCGCGUGAGUGAAGAAGGCCUUCGGGUUGUCAAGCUCUUUUGUCAGGGAAGAAACACCGGCUCUAACACAGUCCGGGAAUGACGGUACCUGAAGAAUAAGCACCGGCUAACUACGUGCCAGCAGCCGCGGUAA